rnacentral:misc_RNA from 1 species
AAGUCGUAACAAGGUUUCCGUAGGUGAACCUGCGGAAGGAUCAUUAACGAGUUUGAAAGGGGUUUGAUGCUGGCCUUCCGAGGCAUGUGCUCGGCCCUGCUCAUCCAUUUUACACCUGUGCACCUAUUGUGGUUUGGUUGACUUGGGGUUGGAAACAGCCUAAGAAAAGCCGUUCCACGUAUUUACAUACACUAUACAAGUUCAGAAUGUCUUACUUUGCUAUAAAACGCAAUUAAUACAACUUUCAACAACGGAUCUCUUGGCUCUC